GUGCUUCCUUUGGCAGCGCAUGCGCUAAACUCGGAAUGACACAGAGAUGAGCGUGGCCCCUGCUGACAGAUGACAGGCAAAUUUGUGAAGUAUAACAUGGUUUU
ensembl:snRNA U6 U6 spliceosomal RNA